rnacentral:rRNA from 1 species
CCCGUGGUAUUCAACCAAACCCGCUCGUGCUAUUUGGAUCAAAAAAACAAACAAAAUUUUUAACGAUAAUAAUUUAAACAAACUUUCAACAACGGAUCUCUUGGCAUCUCGCAUCGAUGAAGAACGCAGCGAAAUGCGAUAAGUAGUGCGAAUUGCAGAACUUUGUGAACCAUCGAAUCUUUGAACGCGAAUUGCGCCUUCUUUCGGAAGGCAUGUCUGUUUGAGGGCACCAUUUAACAAAUAAUGUGCGCGUCGUUUUUACGAGCGAUGUGCACACGUUGAUGAGCUUUUCCGAAAAAACCCGGUUUUUUUGGUGGCGCAUAAUGAACAGCGUGGGCUUUUUCUUCGAUUCUCGUGUAGUAAAUGUUCAACGCUUGGGUUGAGAAAAAGUGCGUGCCGCGCAAUGGGUGUGGCGAAUUUUACCCCUGCCCCAAUGCCACUCUUUCCCUGCGAAAGAACAAUCUUUUAUUUAGGGCCUCAAAUCAGACAAGAGUACCCGCUGAACUUAAGCAUAUCAAUAAGCGGAGGAAAAGAAACUAACAAGGAUUCCCCUAGUAACGGCGAGUGAAGCGGGAACAGCUCAAAUUUUAAAUCUGGCUGCUUUGUAGUCCGAGUUGUAAUUUGAAGGAGUCUUGCCGCUGGCAAAACGAUGGCACAAGUCCUCUGGAACGGGGCAUCGUAGAGAGUGAG